rnacentral:tRNA from 1 species
UCUAAUAUGGCAGAUAAGUGCAAUGGAUUUAAGCCCCAUAUAUAAAGGCUAGCCUUUUGUUAGAA